rnacentral:rRNA from 1 species
CCUACGGGAGGCUGCAGUGGGGAAUAUUGGGCAAUGGGCGCAAGCCUGACCCAGCAACGCCGCGUGAGGGAAGAAGGUUUUCGGGUUGUAAACUUCUUUUAUUGAGGACGAAACAAAUGACGGUACUCAAUCAAUAAGCCACGGCUAACUACGUGCCAGCAGCCGCGGUAAUACGUAGGUGGCAAGCGUUAUCCGGAUUUACUGGGUGUAAAGGGCGCGUAGGCGGGAAUGCAAGUCUGAUGUGAAAACCAGGGGCCCAACCCAUGGACUGCAUUUGAAACUGUAGUUCUUGAGUGAUGGAGAGGCAGGCGGAAUGCCGUGUGUAGCGGUGAAAUGCGUAGAUAUACGGAGGAACACCAGUGGCGAAGGCGGCCUGCUGGACAUUAACUGACGCUGAGGCGCGAAAGCGUGGGGAGCAAACAGGAUUAGAUACCCUAGUAGUC